rnacentral:tRNA from 1 species
GGGGACACAGCUUAGUGGUAGAGUGCUUUCCUAGCAUGCAUGAAACCCUGGGUUUGCUCCCCAGUGUCACCC